GUCGAGCGGACCGAAGGGAGCUUGCUCCUUUAGGUUAGCGGCGGACGGGUGAGUAACACGUGGGCAACCUGCCCUGCAGACUGGGAUAACUUCGGGAAACCGGAGCUAAUACCGGAUAACACCGAAAACCGCAUGGUUUUCGGUUGAAAGGCGGCUUUUAGCUGUCACUGCAGGAUGGGCCCGCGGCGCAUUAGCUAGUUGGUGAGGUAACGGCUCACCAAGGCGACGAUGCGUAGCCGACCUGAGAGGGUGACCGGCCACACUGGGACUGAGACACGGCCCAGACUCCUACGGGAGGCAGCAGUAGGGAAUAUUGGACAAUGAGCGCAAGCUUGAUCCAGCCAUACCGCGUGUGUGAAGAAGGCUUUCGGGUUGUAAAGCACUUUAAGCAGGGAGAAAAAGUUAUAGGCUAAUACCCUAUGACCGUGAUGUUACCUGCAGAAUAAGCACCGGCUAAUUCCGUGCCAGCAGCCGCGGUAAU
rnacentral:rRNA from 1 species